AGAUUGAGGACUUCAAUGGACUGAGACAUGUUCUGCACCUAUGUCACAAAGAUCACAAGAUCUAUCAAAUAACUGUCCUCAUCACUGAUUUUCUGGAGCUCAGCCAUUCAACAACACACAUUGUCAACAGUCAAUCAACAGAUCUGAAUGCACAGAUGAACAUUACAAGAUGAGACUGUUGAAAGACAAAACAUUUCAGAUAGUACCAUAUACAAGUUUGAAAGAAGCACUAAAUACAAGAGAUAAAGGACUCACAGGCAAUCCAGGAGGACCAGGAGGACCAAUUGGACCAGAAGCACCACUGAUGCCCUAAAUAUAAAGAGCAAAUGCUUGGAGAUCACAUUGAGACAGGACUGUUUCUUCUUUCAGUGAGACCUGGUCA
rnacentral:lncRNA from 1 species